rnacentral:rRNA from 1 species
CGGCAACAGCUCAAAUUUGAAAUCUGGCUCUUUCAGGGUCCGAGUUGUAAUUUGUAGAAGAUGCUUCGGGUGAGGCUCUGGUCUAAGUUCCUUGGAACAGGACGUCAUAGAGGGUGAGAAUCCCGUAU